rnacentral:lncRNA from 1 species
AAGUAGGACAUUUCCCUACACUGAAGAGAUUCUUUUAUUUUUGUUUGUUAUUGUGUGUGGGGCACAUGUGCUUGGUAAGAAUUCUCUUCGAUUACCCUGGCCAGUAUAUUCUAUUUGGCAGUUGGACAUAUGGAAGAGGUAGUAAUUUGAUAUGGUGUCUUUGCUGACCCUUGCCUUAGAUAUUUCUCUGAAACUCCCCUUCUGUAUUUUUGUUUUUUGGUAAUAGUUCCUGACUGGCAUUUUUCAAUUUGAAACAAGGUCAUCCCAAACUUCAUAUCCUAGGCACUGUCCUUAAUCAGCUUAAGCUUUAUUAUUCUUAGAUUCUCUUUAAACCCUGAGAAUAGGGUUUUGAAAAAUUAUUUUGAAGAGCCUUUCUUUGUACCUAAAGAGAGUGUCGUUAGAGUGUAUGUUGAGAUGCGUAACAAGGCUCUGGUUCAGACCAAGUGCCUCUGGUUAUCUUUGCCACCCAGGAGUUUAAAAGCAUCUAUGCCCAAGCACUUUUUAAAAUUGGAUUUUUCUGUCAGUGAAGCAGUGAAGUGAAGCCUGCUGCAGAAAUGAAAUGUUUUGUACCAGACAUUUUUUGCUUUUUUUCUUGAUAAGACCAACUGUAAGCCUUAGAAUCUUUUCUCAUCCUGAUAUUUUAGGCAGUGGUUAUGGAGAAAGUAAAAAGCCUAAGGGUAGUUAGGGUGCUAAUUGUGUGUACCUUUUAGGUUUCAAUAAAUCCAAUUAAAAAGAUAUUUUUGAAUAAGAUACUUAAUACCUGAUCUCCCAAGAUCACUGACUCCCUCAGAGUGAACUUAAAUAAACCCUUUAUAAUGUAUGUUUUGUUCUCUCCCUCUUUGGACUGUGUCAGUAAGGGAGUCCCAAGACCAUUUAUUAAAAUAGCCUAGGUAACAGCCCAUCCUUGGACUGGGAAUCUCUGUUUUGGCUGAGGAACAGCUUAUGUUGGGCUUGAAGGAAUGCUGCGGCCAUCAAGAGCAGUUGUUUGCUUCAGGUGGGCCAGCACCUUCCAAGCUGGCAUUUUUCCACAGAGGACAAUCUGUACCAAUUACGAGGGUGCUUUGGUUUCUCAGAUGCCAUCAUUUUAAUAAUUAUGUUCUUUCAUUCUUUAAUGGCUUGAUUUUUUUUUUUUUGCUUUUUUAAGGCUAGAUUAAUAUGUGAGAAAUUACCAUAAAAAAAUUACAUGUGGAAAUUAUUAUACCUAUAAGCUUCCAAAUACCAGAAAGUCCCAUUAUGGCACAGUUGUUUAAUCACACUAAUUUUGAAAUUUAUGGUUAGCUUUUAUUUUUUGCUGAGGUGAGAAUUUGAUCCAGAUUGCCAACAAAGGCCAAAACUUUGUUGAUCAAACAUUUGAUGAGAAUUUCAGUUUUCCUGUGGAAAAACUAGAACAGAUGGCACUUUCUACAGCAUGCAAUUCUCUUUAUGGUUAGGUUUAAGAUCCUCCAUGAAAUCACAUGAUAUGGGCUUCAGUUUUAGGGGAAAUUAGUAGUUCCAUCUGGAGAGUUCUUGGCUUCUGCAACCUGAUUUUGCAUCAGUGAUGACAUUUAUUUGUAAAUUCUGCUCCUUUUGCAGCAUAGUAAUAGUUUGGGAGUGAGAUGGAUUUACUGUAAAUCUCUUGAUACUUGAACACAGCCCAUUUUCAUUUAUUUUCUUGGGGUUUGAGAGUUGAUGUGACCUAACCUGACCAGUCGUUACUGAAUUUUCUGCUUAUAGACCAUGAAUGGAAAUGUUGAAUUUGGCAUAUAGGUUAUGCGAUGGUGGUUUGCAAGGAUAUCACUCCUUGACUAGUUGGGCCCUCACUUGGAAGGUAAACAUAGAUUAGCAUUUAUACCAAGAGUAAUUUAAGCGGGUCUGUUUUGGCAGCAAUCUUUCCAUUGAACUUUGUGCCCAUCUUUGAGGUGUACUUUUCAGGCUAAAAGUUCAGCUGAUUUUAUCAACUCUUCUCUUCUCUGAUCCUUCCCCUCAUUUAGACUUAAAUUGUUUAAAUAUAUUCAGCAAGUUAGGAGAAGAGGGUUGAGCAGGGUUCUAGAAAGGUUUUCAGCCUGUGUAGAAAUAGCCCCGCUUCAUUUUAUGUAGUUCUUUGAGAACUUGGGAAAAUGGCCUACUUGACUGGAAGUAAAACCUUAUGUGUUCAGAAGUUUUCUUUUCCACUGAUUCUUCUGGUCCUGGGGAGGGAAGUGAGGAGUUAUUGGGGUCCACCAAGAAAGGUCUCUCUUGGGACCAGAUGAAUUUUGCAAAAUCAUGAUUAUUUGACAGCUACUUUUCAUCAUCCGGAUCAAAUGAAAUAAUAUAUAUAAAGUGCUUUGUAAACCUUAAAGUGCUAUAAAAAAUGUUAACCAUUAUUUCCUGUGUGGCCCAGGUGUUUUUGGGAUUCACCCAUCCUUCUGUGCUUCAUUGUUUGACCACUUUUCUGCUUAUUUGUAGUUAGGAAGAAACAGUGAAUAUAGGUGAGUCUGAUAUGGGCUUCUCACUGGGGGCCAGGUCUGUUGUUAGUUGCUAGGGGGGUGUUUUGGGAACCAAACCAGAUUAGGUUUUUAGAUUGAUUUUAGUUCAUUUGUCCUCUGGUCAUGUAUAGUUGAACUAGUUGUUUGGUGUGGUAGUAGGAUUAAGAUAAAAAUUGUUAAAGAAAUCGAUUCAUGUGAUUAAUGGAAUUAUGUUUUAAGAAAAUCAAUAGUGUUAAAACUGUCAAAAUCAUUUCUAAUGAUGUGUUCACAAACGGUGUCCCAGCUUUAAAAAAUUCUCAGGAGAAAUGGUCCUAUCACUCUUGAGAUAGGGGUGCUGUCUCCCUCUUCCCUUCUCUUGCUCCAGUCCUCUUGUUAAUUUAGGGGUUCUUAACCUAUUGUCACAGAUCCUUUUGACAGUCUGGCUGAGCCUAUGGGCUUUUGUGUAGAAUAAUAUUUAAUUACCUGUAUCCCAAAUUAGAGGAAAUGCUGAAUUUCAGUUGAGGUUAGAGAAGAUAAAGAUGUAAUUUAUUUUAUUUUAUCUUAUUUUAUUUUAUUUUUUACUUUCCAAGUUCAGAGACUCCCUGUAAUCUAUUUCUAGGCCCCAGGUAAAGAACCAGGAUUUCCUCAGUUAAUUGAAAGCAUAUUUAAGACAACUAACUUAUUUUCCUCUCUGAGGCAAGAAAUUCAAAAUUGUAUGUUCAAAGAUAUGCUAGAAGAUCAUAGAUGAUGUAGGUUUGAAUGCUUAUUGUGAGUGAUGGUGGGUUUAGUUCUAAAUUAUCACAUAGCAGGUGUAAUUUAAGUGUUAAAUUUUUACAAAAUAAUUAUAAAUGUACCACCUUCAAGGCAGAAAAAAGGCUGAGAUAUUUAUGAGUAGCCUUUGAACACACAGGAGUUGACACCUUUAAUACUAGCUGGUACUUCUAACUCUCAGAACUCAAUAUUGAUUUAUAAGGAGAGCCAGCAGAAGCCAAGGUAUAUGAAUUUGGUUUUUUUGUUGAUGUAGUUAAGGUAAAGUUGUUAAACUUGGUCUGAUUGACAGGUAUCCUACAUUAAAGACUUGGUAGGGUAGGAGAAACAAAGUGGGCUUGGGAGAGAAGAAGAAGGAGACAGCUCUAUGUUCUUUCCUUAAAGGCCUUGAUUUAUAAAAAAUUCUGAAAUUGAAGGCAUCGUCCAGCAUCUUUUCAAACCCUGUAACCAGUCUGCUUAGUCAGGUCAGGGCUUUUUUUUUUUUUUUUUAAGGGGGUUCCCUCUGGCCAAAGCAGCACUCAUUUGGCCAUGGAUUUCUCUGGAUCCUCCAUGAUGAGGGGUUUUCUGUGUGUGUGGGGGAGGGAAUGGGAGGGAGGGAGGGAGGAACCUUUCUGGAUUCAUGGAGCUUCUGUACUUUUUACAUUAGACUGUUGUUACAUGGGGAGCUGUUUGAUUUUUUUCCCUUUUCAGUUUUCAAUAAAUGAAUUUUAAACACCUUGUUGUGUUGUGAUUUGGGAACUCUGGCAUCGAAGUGAAAAUGUAUUCGGAAUGUCACAGCCUGAUGAAUCAAGUGAAGAAUGG